UACGUAGGGACCAAGCGUUUGUUCGGAUUUACUGGGCGUAAAGGGCGCGUAGGUGGCGCGCUAAGUCAGGUGUGAAAUUUCGGAGCUUAACUCCGAAACUGCAUUUGAUACUGGCGUGCUUGAGGACUGGAGAGGAGACUGGAAUUCAUGGUGUAGCAGUGAAAUGCGUAGAGAUCAUGAGGAAGACCAGUGGCGAAGGCGGGUCUCUGGACAGUUCCUGACACUGAGGCACGAAGGCCAGGGGAGCAAAACGGG
rnacentral:rRNA from 1 species